rnacentral:rRNA from 1 species
AACGAACGCUGGCGGCAGGCCUAACACAUGCAAGUCGAACGCCGUAGCAAUACGGAGUGGCAGACGGGUGAGUAACACGUGGGAACGUACCCUUCGGUUCGGGAUAACUCAGGGAAACUUGAGCUAAUACCGGAUACGUCCGAGAGGAGAAAGAUUUAUCGCCGAGGGAUCGGCCCGCGUCUGAUUAGCUUGUUGGUGAGGUAACGGCUCACCAAGGCGACGAUCAGUAGCUGGUCUGAGAGGAUGAUCAGCCACAUUGGGACUGAGACACGGCCCAAACUCCUACGGGAGGCAGCAGUGGGGAAUAUUGGACAAUGGGCGCAAGCCUGAUCCAGCCAUGCCGCGU